rnacentral:rRNA from 1 species
CCUGGCGACCAUAGCGAGCUGGAACCACCCGAUCCCAUCCCGAACUCGGAAGUGAAACAGCUCAGCGCCGAUGAUAGUGUGGGGCUUCCCCAUGCGAAAGUAGGACAUCGCCAGGC